rnacentral:lncRNA from 1 species
GAAGAUAUGCUGAAAGCUUUGUAUGCAUGCUUGUGUGCACAGGCACCUAUGCACACAAAUGAGAAAAGCAGAAGCAGGGAGAAUGACCACAGGGUGCAAGCUAUUAGAGUCCAGGUUUUACCAUGUCACCUAGGCUGCAGUGCACAACAUAGCUGCAUUUCCCAUCAAUGUUUAUGUGUGGACACUAACAUUUAAGUUUCAUGUAUAUUCACAUGACAGGAAAAACUUUUUUUUUAAAUUUUGAUUUCUAAAAACACUUUAAGGCUGGGUAAGGUGGUUCAGACCUGUAAUCCCAGCACUUUAAGAUGCCGAGGUGGGAAGAUCUCCUGAGCCCAGGAGUUGGAGACUAGCCUAGCAACACAGUGAUAUCUUAUCUUUACAAAAACUUAAAAAAUUAGCCACGUUUGGUGGUGUGCACUUGUAGUCUCAGCCCAGGAGGUCGAGGCUGAAGUGAAAAUACAAUCCCAGCCUGGACAACAGAAUGAGACCCUAUCUUUAAAAAAACAAAAACAAAAACAAACAAACAAAAAAAAAAACAAACAAAAACAAAGAACAAAAGUAAGAUGUAAAAUCAUUCUUAGCUUGUGGAUUCUAGAAUACUGGCAGGAUUUGGGUCAUAGGCUGCAGUUUGUGCACUUGUGAUGGAAAAACCAAACCCAAAAAGCCCGGAUAGGGAAGGGAUUUAAUGUCACAAAACAUGGUGGAGGAGAACACACAGUGCAAAAUACAAAAGAAUCCAUGCACGUGUGCACCCAGAGUGGACUCCAUCUCAAAAAAAAAAAAAAAAAUCCCCCCCAAAAUUCUUAAGAAGACUUUCUUUCCAGAAGAACAUCGACAUCCCUCACCACCAACCCAUGUAUUAAAAGCACACAUACUUAACUGAGUUUUUAAAAGGAGCCUCAGUCAAAUUGUAAUACUUGAAACAAUUUAUUCACCGUUUCCAACAGUGACACAGUUUCCAGUUUCCUGGAGGGUCAGAAACACUUGGAAACUAAAUGAUGAAUUAACUGGCAUGUGUCUACUCUGAGCCCUAGGAGGGCCCAUAGGAGACGCCCUCUGCUCGUUGGCUGUCCAACACCCAUGACCAUGAAUGUAUACCCUUGUGUCUGGAGGGCAUUCAUAUUAGCCUAUACAAUCAUGCCACACGUGCAUUUGCUACCCCAUGGUCAUCAUAUGGGCUUAGAGAAAUAGAACUUAUAAGAAUCAUCAAAUACAGUCAUCAAGUUGCUCAACCACCUUGAACUAUAAGUGGUUCUGUGAAGUGUGACUCUCUUAACCAUCUGCCCUGAAUGCCAGACUCCAGUGAGGCACAACCGUGCAAUAAGGCAUAACUAUGCAAAGGUAUCCCAGUGGUAGAGAUACUUAGUGUUUUCGUUACUAGUGAUAAGGUACACAGUUUUGUUACUAAAGGGCUGACAAGACCCACCCACUUUUACUUCUAAUGCGACUUCUAUGAGGAGGUAAGAAAGCCAAUGCCAACAAGUCCCCUCAUGUAACUUGGUUUGUGUAUGUAGUCAGGCAGGGGAUCAAGCGUUCUUUUUGAAGACUAUGCCUCUUAGCAGCACACCUGAUUGACAGUCACUGAGAAUACUUCAGAGGCUCAGGGUGAGAAGAGAUGGACAGCGAUGGGGGAUGGGAAACUAGACUCCCACUCUGUCUUCAGGCAGCAGAUGGCUCAUUAAAACUACCGGAAAUGUCCAGGCGCGGUGGCUCAAGCCUGUCGUCCCAACACUUUGGGAGGCUGAGGCGGGUGGAUCAAUUGAGGUCAGGAGUUCGACCAGCCUGAUCAACAUGGUGAAACCCCGUCUCUACUAAAAAUACAAAAAAUUAGCCUGGCGUGGUGGCGGGCGCCUGUAGUCCCAGCUACUCGGGAGGCUGAGGCAGGAGAAUGGCGUGAACCCGGGAGUCGGAGCUUCCAGUGAGCCCAGACGGCGCCACUGCACUCCAGCCUGGGCGACAGAGCGACACUCCGUCUCAAAAAAAAUAAAAAAUAAAAUUAAAAAAAUGCAAAUACAAACACAAAAAUUAGCCGGGUGCCGGCAGAUGCCUGUAGUCCCAGCUACUCCAGAGGCUGAGGCAGGAAAAUCGCUUGAACCCUGGAGGCAGAGGUUGCAGUGAGCUGAGAUCGAGCCACUGGACUCCAGCCUGGGCGAGAGACCAAGACUCCGUCUCAAAAACAAAAACAAAAACAAAAAAAAAGAAACCACCGGAAAAAAAAAACAAAACUCCGCGGGUGCAUCUGUCCAGCUGCAUUUACAAAAACUAGUAUAGCCAAGACCUGGGAGCCUUUUGUGGAGGCAUUGAAUUCUCCUAAUUAGAUUUCAUGACAUACCUCCUCCAAAAUAGCUGAACACCUAACAACACCAAACACGCUUUUUAAAAAGUCAAAGUAAAUUAACUUUUCCCCUGAAAAUGUAGGGAAUAAAGAAAGUUUCCCAAACUCAAACUCAGACAACUCGGGUAGAUAUCUAAGACGAAUGCUCGUGUCAAACAUCUGUAUUUAUAACUUCGUUGGAACUGUUACAGUAGGUUAUAUGAAUUAGUGGAGGACAAGACUGUUUUAAAUGCCUUCUUUUCAUACAUAGCAUUUAACAUUAAGUAUUUAAUGUAAUUUGUUUGACAAAUUUUUCUUACCUUUUUAAUUGUUGAUGUGGAAUGUAAGAAUGCUUGUAAUAAUGCUGAAGCCAGAGGGAUGGCUUUCCUUUCAUACACGUGGAAAUUUAAUUCUUUGGGGGAUAUUGGAAGACACUGGAUGAGAAACAGUUCUAUUCAUUCCUUUUAGUGUACACAGAUUAAGUCAAAUACAUACAACAUUUUAGGGAGUAGGAACUGUUGAACUAUUUGUUGAGUAAAUAGUAUGUAUUUUCAAACACAGUUAAGUUUUUUCUAAUUUGAGGCCAUAUCACUGACUAUCUUAUCCCUUCAAUGGAAGCCAUGUUACAUAGUCUGUUGUUAAAUGGGUCACUACCCAGUGAAAAAAUAUAUUUCAUGACAUAAGACUGCCAAUCUUUUUUGGUCUUUGCUCCAUCUUGACCUUAAGAUGUUCAUCAACCCAUUUUAUCCAAGCAAAGUACAUUAGACUGUUGGACCUGCUAAAAUAAUAUUUCACUGAAAUCUGGCAUUAAAAAAUUUAAGUGGGUAUUUGGAGCUCCAUGUAAUGAUUACAGUUUUUUUUCAAUUUGAAAUAAAUAAGCGUCCUUUGAAUACUAAAAGCUGUUUCCUUUUGACAUUUAAUUAACCCUGUUUAAAACGUGAGAUGUAAAGUGGUGGUUUGCUAGUGGACUAGACUUUUUCUUUUAGGCUGCCAAGGGCUUUGAAGAGGAUUAUCACAAAGUUUUGUGUCAGAAACUGUAAGUAGUGCAUAUUUAAUCUUAAAAACUCAGGAUUGAUGUAAGCACUGGAAUACUUUAUUUGCAGAAAUGUGUAUCACAUUACUUAAUUUUUUUUUGAAACAGCUGUAGGAAGAGUUAGCACUUAUUCAGUUGUCUCUUCAACCUCUGUUAUUCUGAUGACCGAAGAAAUAACUUGAACCUACUUUCUAUGAUACAAGCAUAACUUGAGCUACACUAAACCAUGACAAUGUUUUGAUAAUUCUGUAAUCAGUAUAUAUCAUCUAUUAUUUGUCUGUUAGUUAAGUGCCAGACCUCAUUUCUGUGAUCUGUUAAACAUUAAAUAUAAUUUAGUUUUAGGUUUAGCCUGUGAACCUUCAUCAGUUCCAAAAAUGUAGAAAAUACAGUCAUGGAAAAGUACAUUUUUCUCUAAUAAAAAAAGAUAAAAGAGUGAUGCCUCUUAAAAUGUGUCUGUACAUUGUCUUUAAAAAAUCCAGA